CUGAUUUGGCCUGGAUGGUUCAGGAUAAUCACCUGAGCAGUGAACCAGCUGCUUCCUUUGAUGGGUCAUUUUUGCUGUCACCAGCAACAUUGCCUCGUCUAACAUCUUUGACCAACACGUUCUUUAUAUUGAAACCCACAUUGUCCCCAGGAAGAGCUUCACUCAAAGCUUCAUGGUGCAUUUCAACAGACUUGACUUCAGUUUUUACGUUGACUGGAGCAAAGGUAAACACCAU
rnacentral:lncRNA from 1 species